UCUUGUUGUCUUGCCAAAUUUUCUAAAAGUUUCAAGGGAGCUCAAAGAUGCACUGAAUGACUUCUCAUGUGUAUCUAACCCUAUUUGACUGAACUACAGUCUCCAUUAUAUUUCAUAACCUGUUCACCAGAUUGAAAAGCUCCUCUCCAUCACAUUAUUUGGUGCGGCCCACAGCAUUUGCUGCUACAGAUUGUGUCCUCGAUAUUUCGCCACGGUUGAGGAAAGAAGGGAAAUGAAGGGGUGUAUUGGGGGAAAAUGGGACACAGUGAAGGAUUUUGAGUGUAAUGUUCCCUGUGAGCACAUAGCGGAUCUCUCUGUGUGCUUUAUAGAGCUUGGAACUAAUGACUGCAAUUGAUCAAGACCAGACAGCCCAUAUUAAUCUGUGUCUCUGCUUUUGGCAAAGCAGUAUAUUACAGCAUGUUUGAAAAUUCUCUUUGUGUGUGUGUGCAUAUACAGUUAUAACAUUUAAAUAUAGUCUACUAAAGGAAAUCUAAAAUGCUAGUUUCUACAUGAAGCAGUGUUGAGUUUAUAGAAUGCUUUUCAGAAAUCUACAUAAAAUGUUGUAUUUGG